rnacentral:rRNA from 1 species
AGUGGGGAAUAUUGGACAAUGGGCGAAAGCCUGAUCCAGCCAUGCCGCGUGUGUGAAGAAGGUCUUCGGAUUGUAAAGCACUUUAAGUUGGGAGGAAGGGCAGUAAGUUAAUACCUUGCUGUUUUGACGUUACCAACAGAAUAAGCACCGGCUAACUUCGUGCCAGCAGCCGCGGUAAUACGAAGGGUGCAAGCGUUAAUCGGAAUUACUGGGCGUAAAGCGCGCGUAGGUGGUUCAGCAAGUUGGAUGUGAAAUCCCCGGGCUCAACCUGGGAACUGCAUCCAAAACUACUGAGCUAGAGUACGGUAGAGGGUGGUGGAAUUUCCUGUGUAGCGGUGAAAUGCGUAGAUAUAGGAAGGAACACCAGUGGCGAAGGCGACCACCUGGACUGAUACUGACACUGAGGUGCGAAAGCGUGGGGAGCAAA